GAUGAACGCUGGCGGCGUGCCUAAUACAUGCAAGUCGAGCGAACAGACGAGGAGCUUGCUCCUCUGACGUUAGCGGCGGACGGGUGAGUAACACGUGGAUAACCUACCUAUAAGACUGGGAUAACUUCGGGAAACCGGAGCUAAUACCGGAUAAUAUAUUGAACCGCAUGGUUCAAUAGUGAAAGACGGUUUCGCUGUCACUUAUAGAUGGAUCCGCGCCGCAUUAGCUAGUUGGUAAGGUAACGGCUUACCAAGGCGACGAUGCGUAGCCGACCUGAGAGGGUGAUCGGCCACACUGGAACUGAGACGCGGUCCAGACUCCUACGGGAGGCAGCAGUGGGAAAUCUUCCGCAAGGGGCGAAAGCCUGACGGAGCAACGCCGGGGGGUGGAUGAAGGGCUUCGGAUCGUAAAACCCUGUUAUUAGGGAAGAACAAAUGGGUAAGUAACUAUGCACGUCUUGACGGUACCAAAACAAAAAGCCACGGCUAACUACGU
rnacentral:rRNA from 1 species